rnacentral:rRNA from 1 species
AUUGAACGCUGGCGGCAUGCUUUACACAUGCAAGUCGAGCGGCAGCGCGGGACUCAGGCAACUGAGCCCUGGCGGCGAGCGGCGAACGGGUGAGGAAUACAUCGGAACGUGUCCCGUAGUGGGGGAUAGCUCGGCGAAAGCCGGAUUAAUACCGCAUAUGCUCUACGGAGGAAAGCCGGGGAUCUGUUAAAGGACCUGGCGCUAUGGGAGCGGCCGAUGUCCGAUUAGCUAGUUGGUGAGGUAAAGGCUCACCAAGGCGACGAUCGGUAGCUGGUCUGAGAGGAUGAUCAGCCACACUGGGACUGAGACACGGCCCAGACUCCUACGGGAGGCAGCAGUGGGGAAUUUUGGACAAUGGGGCAACCCUGAUCCAGCCAUGCCGCGUGCGGGAAGAAGGCCUCGGUUGUAACCGU